AUACGUAGGGGGCGAGCGUUGUCCGGAAUGACUGGGCGUAAAGGGCGUGUAGGCGGCGGUGUAAGUCUGGAGUGAAAGUCCCGCAUUCAAUGUGGGAAUUGCUUUGGAUACUGCAGUGCUAGAGUGCGGAAGAGGUAAGUGGAAUUCCCAGUGUAGCGGCGAAAUGCGUAGAGAUUGGGAGGAACACCAGUGGCGAAGGCGACUUACUGGGCCGUAACUGACGCUGAGGCGCGAAAGCGUGGGGAGCGAACAGGAUUAGAUACCCUGGUAGUCCACGCGGUAAACGAUGAAUGCUAGGUGUUGCGGGUAUCGACCCCUGCAGUGCCGGAGUAAACACAAUAAGCAUUCCGCCUGGGGAGUACGGCCGCAAGGUUGAAACUCAAAUGAAUUGGCGGGG
rnacentral:rRNA from 1 species